rnacentral:rRNA from 1 species
GAUGGACGCUGGCGGCGUGCCUAAUACAUGCAAGUCGAGCGAAUGGAUUGAGAGCUUGCUCUUAUGAAGUUGGCGGCGGACGGGUGAGUAACACGUGGGUAACCUGCCCAUAAGACUGGGAUAACUCCGGGAAACCGGGGCUAAUACCGGAUAACAUUUUGAACCGCAUGGUUCGAAAUUGAAAGGCGGCUUCGGCUGUCACUUAUGGAUGGACCCGCGUCGCAUUAGCUAGUUGGUGAGGUAACGGCUCACCAAGGCAACGAUGCGUAGCCGACCUGAGAGGGUGAUCGGCCACACUGGGACUGAGACACGGCCCAGACUCCUACGGGAGGCAGCAGUAGGGAAUCUUCCGCAAUGGACGAAAGUCUGACGGAGCAACGCCGCGUGAGUGAUGAAGGCUUUCGGGUCGUAAAACUCUGUUGUUAGGGAAGAACAAGUGCUAGUUGAAUAAGCUGGCACCUUGACGGUACCUAACCAGAAAGCCACGGCUAACUACGUGCCAGCCGCCGCCGUAA